CCGCUUCUGGAGGGGCUUGCGGUCGAUUAGCUAGUUGGUGGGGUAAUGGCCUACCAAGGCAACGAUCGAUAGCUGGUCUGAGAGGACGGUCAGCCACACGGGGACUGAGAUACGGCCCCG
rnacentral:rRNA from 1 species